AUUGAACGCUGGCGGCAUGCCUUACACAUGCAAGUCGAACGGCAGCGGGGGAGAAGCUUGCUUUUCCUGCCGGCGAGUGGCGAACGGGUGAGUAAUACAUCGGAACGUGCCCUGUAGUGGGGGAUAACUAGUCGAAAGAUUAGCUAAUACCGCAUACGACCUGAGGGUGAAAGUGGGGGACCGCAAGGCCUCAUGCUAUAGGAGCGGCCGAUGUCUGAUUAGCUAGUUGGGGGGGUAAAGGCCUACCAAGGCGACGAUCAGUAGCUGGCCUGAGAGGACGAUCAGCCACACUGGGACUGAGACACGGCCCAGACUCCUACGGGAGGCAGCAGUGGGGAAUUUUGGACAAUGGGCGAAAGCCUGAUCCAGCAAUGCCGCGUGUGUGAAGAAGGCCUUCGGGUUGUAAAGCACUUUUGUCCGGAAAGAAAUGGCUCUGGUUAAUACCUGGGGUCGAUGACGGUACCGGAAGAAUAAGGACCGGCUAACUACGUGCCAGCAGCCGCCGUAA
rnacentral:rRNA from 1 species